rnacentral:lncRNA from 1 species
UAUGGAUUGGCUAACCAAGUAUUACGCCACGAUUGAUUGUAAGAAUCGCACGGUUACUUUUAGAGAACCGGGGCAGACUGAGGUUGUGUUUAGUGGAUGCCGGAGUUCGCUUUUUGCGAUGUCGAUCAGCUCGUCUCGAGCUAGGCAGCUGAUCAGCCGAGGAUGUGUAGCCUACUUGGCUAGUGUUGUGUUGAGGGGCGAGGAUGACACCCAUAGGAUUGAGGAUAUCCCGAUGGUACGGGAGUUUCAGGACGUGUUUCC